rnacentral:rRNA from 1 species
GCAGUCGACGCUGAAAGCCUGGUGCUUGCACCGGGUGGAUGAGUGGCGAACGGGUGAGUAACACGUGAGUAACCUGCCCCUGACUUCGGGAUAAGCCCGGGAAACUGGGUCUAAUACCGGAUACGACUGCCGGACGCAUGUCUGGUGGUGGAAAGUUUUUUCGGUUGGGGAUGGGCUCGCGGCCUAUCAGUUUGUUGGUGAGGUAAUGGCUCACCAAGACGACGACGGGUAGCCGGCCUGAGAGGGCGACCGGCCACACUGGGACUGAGACACGGCCCAGACUCCUACGGGAGGCAGCAGUGGGGAAUAUUGCACAAUGGGGGAAACCCUGAUGCAGCGACGCAGCGUGCGGGAUGACGGCCUUCGGGUUGUAAACCGCUUUCAGCAGGGAAGAAGCGCAAGUGACGGUACCUGCAGAAGAAGUACCGGCUAACUACGUGCCAGCAGCCGCGGUAAUACGUAGGGUACGAGCGUUGUCCGGAAUUAUUGGGCGUAAAGAGCUCGUAGGUGGUUGGUCACGUCUGCUGUGGAAACGCAACGCUUAACGUUGCGCGUGCAGUGGGUACGGGCUGACUAGAGUGCAGUAGGGGAGUCUGGAAUUCCUGGUGUAGCGGUGAAAUGCGCAGAUAUCAGGAGGAACACCGGUGGCGAAGGCGGGACUCUGGGCUGUAACUGACACUGAGGAGCGAAAGCAUGGGGAGCGAACAGGAUUAGAUACCCUGGUAGUCCAUGCCGUAAACGUUGGGCACUAGGUGUGGGGGGCAUUCCACGUUCUCCGCGCCGUAGCUAACGCAUUAAGUGCCCCGCCUGGGGAGUACGGUCGCAAGGCUAAAACUCAAAGGAAUUGACGGGGGCCCGCACAAGCGGCGGAGCAUGCGGAUUAAUUCGAUGCAACGCGAAGAACCUUACCAAGGCUUGACAUACACCGGACCGUCCUGGAAACAGGUCCUCUUCUUUGAAGCUGGUGUACAGGUGGUGCAUGGUUGUCGUCAGCUCGUGUCGUGAGAUGUUGGGGUUAAGUCCCGCAACGAGCGCAACCCUCGUUCUAUGUUGCCAGCAUGUGGAUGGUGGGAACUCAUAGG